ACUAAAUUGCUGAUGCUUGCCCUUGAACUUGGGAUCCUCUUGCCUCAGCCUCCUGAGUCACUGGGAUUACAGGUACUGUGUCUGGCUGGCACCAUUAAAAAAAUUUUUUUAGAUCUGCUGUUGGUUGAGUCUUCAGAUGCAGAACCCGUGGAUGCACAGGCUGGCUGGACAAUGAUGAGGAUGAAGAUGAGUGGGGGGCUGGGCUGGACUCAGUGGUACGGUGCUUGGGCAGCACAGGCCAGGCUGGUGUGCAAUUCCGAGCACUUAGCACAGAGACAAUCCAAUCAACUCUCUCCUCAUCUGAUCCCAGGAUCUGGUAAAGGCUCCCAGCAAUCUCCCAGCUUUCUCCUGAUCAGAGUUCAACAGUGAUUCUUUGUGGAGAGUUUGCUAGUUCUGGGUGCCAAUACUCUCUCCCACCAUGGCUGUUUCAGAGUUGGAAGAGGUGGUGAGGUCAGGCCUGUCCACUGGUGCCCCAGGCUCCCUGUACCUCCCACAGAGCACACCCCCAGCACAACUGCCUUCAAUUCUAAAAACACUGAGAGCUGUCCAGAAUGGAAGCUGCCUUACAUGUUUAGGGCACAAAGACUCCAUUUCCAGUGUACAAAGCUAAAGCCGCAACACUUCUAAACCUUGACCAAGAAACAGAACAAGGAGCUGCAGCCUGCUUGGUGCCGGGAUGAGAUCUUGACUUAAGAGGAAGGUGCUCUGAGCGGCAGAUGGACGGGCUCCAGGAGUGAGGCAGAAUCUGGCAUUGACGAAUCUGAGCUGUGUGGCCUUGGGCAACUGUCUUAAUUUCUCUGAGCCCCAUACCCCAUUCUGAAAUGUUCCAGACGAGAGAUUCAUAAAAGUUUUUACAGACUGAAAUCCACCCAGGGUCCGUGUACAAUUCAGAGUUUUGAUACAUUUGCAGAGUUGUACAGUCAUCACCCCAACCCAGUUUAAAAGCUCCUCCACUAUUAAGUUCCUCAUCACCAGCUUGCAGUCAAUUCCCUGUCCCAACCUCCCACCCCAGGCCACCGCAAAUCCACUUUCAGUCUCUCCAGAUUUGCUUCCUCUGGAAAUACCAUAUAAAUGAAACCAGACAGUCCUGCUGUGUCUAAAAUAAUUUUGCUUCUAACAUAUGUGAAUUGCAGAACCCAGAGAGUCACUCUGUUCAAGAAUGACUUUUGCAAACUUUGUUGUGAGGCCUGUGCAAGAAUUGAUUUCAGCAGCCGUGUCGAUAAGGUCUGCAGUGAGAUAAAGAAUAAAUCUCUCUGAAACCAGGCUAAGAAAUAACCGAUAGGGCAGUGACAAUGAAAGGAUAGAUUCUUCCUGCUACCUAUCUGGCUGAAUCUUUCUCUGAAAGAAGAGAUAGUAAGAGAUAUUCAAUGGAUACCACCGUAUGUAUUAAAAGAAUCAGAAGUAGGAAAGAGAACACUGGGGAUUUAUGCAUAGGCAUAAAAAUAAAAUUGAGCAGGAAAUGAUCCAAAAUGUGCCAUAGGGUUUCUGCUCUGCACUGGGGGAGGCUGCCGGUAAGGUGCAGCCAUGAAUUGUUUAAUGAUGAACUGCUUCUGGGCCUGGAUACUGGUAUGUGGGUGGUCAUUUUAUUGACUUUGAACUACAUGUGUACAUUUUCCUUCCCUCCUUCCUCCCUAGCUUCUUUUCUUCCUCUUUUUUAUAUUGGGAUUCAACCUAGGGCUGCUCUACCACUGAGCUACAUCCCCGGGCCUUUUUAUUCAUUAUUUUAAGACAGGGUCUUGCUAGGUUUCUGAGGCUGGCCUCCACCUUGUGGUCAUCCUGUCUCAGCCUCCCCAGUUGCUUGGAUUACAGAUGUUCACCACCACGCCGGGCAGUGGGUAGACAUUUUCAAAUGCAUGUGGGUAUCCAUAUUUCCUGAUUAAAAAAAAUUGAAAAAAAAUUGAAUUUUGAGAGAGCUGAGUCUUUCCUUAUCUCUGUUCUCUCCACUGGAAAGCAGGGACAGUGAUGUUUUAUUCUUUCUUUUAGUUGGAGGUUAGGAAACUGGUCCAUGGGUCAAAUCAAGCUGAGCUGAGAAGGAGUUCAUCAUGUGAUAUGUGAAAAUGACAUGAAGUGCAGAUUUUAAUGUUCUUAAGUAGUCUUAUGGGAUCUAGUCUGCCCAGCUGUUUAUACACUGCUACUGGAUUAAAAUCAUACUUGGGAUUUAGUGGAUGGAGGUGUGGAGCCAACAUAGCAUGUGACGAGCAUUUGCUUCCCCUCCUGGUCAGCUGAGGCACUGUCGGUCCCACGUGAUCUGGUUGCUUUUAAGUAACCUAAGAUGGUAGCCCCGAUCUUGAGGGUAGAGAAAAUACAAAUGUGUCUUCAUGCGUAGGCGCGCCUUCCUGCAGCCCCAGGGGUCGGGGUAUGCUCACCGGUUCCUUUGUGAUAUUACCCCC